rnacentral:rRNA from 1 species
UGGGGAAUUUUGGACAAUGGGGGAAACCCUGAUCCAGCCAUCCCGCGUGUGCGAUGAAGGCCUUCGGGUUGUAAAGCACUUUUGGCAGGAAAGAAACGUCAUGGGUUAAUACCCCGUGAAACUGACGGUACCUGCAGAAUAAGCACCGGCUAACUACGUGCCAGCAGCCGCGGUAAAACGUAGGGUGCAAGCGUUAAUCGGAAUUACUGGGCGUAAAGCGUGCGCAGGCGGUUCGGAAAGAAAGAUGUGAAAUCCCAGAGCUCAACUUUGGAACUGCAUUUUUAACUACCGGGCUAGAGUGUGUCAGAGGGAGGUGGAAUUCCGCGUGUAGCAGUGAAAUGCGUAGAUAUGCGGAGGAACACCGAUGGCGAAGGCAGCCUCCUGGGAUAACACUGACGCUCAUGCACGAAAGCGUGGGGAGCAAACAGG